rnacentral:rRNA from 1 species
GCCCAGUGACUCUUCAACGGCCGCGGUAUCCUAACCGUGCAAAGGUAGCAUAAUCACUUGUCCUAUAAAUAAGGACUAGAAUGAACGGUCACAUGAGGAUCGAACUGUCUCUUGCACCCGACCAAUAAACCUGAUCUUUUAGUCCAAAAGCUAAAAUAAACCCAUAAGACGAGAAGACCCUGUGGAGCUUUAAACCAAACCCAACCCAACUGGCCCCUUGGUUUUUAGUUGGGGCAACUCCGGAGAACAAAAACCCUCCGGCAUGGGCCCCGCCCUGAGAUCAACACAUCAAAGGGCCCACAACCCUUGACCCAGUAACCCCCCAUGGCUAUCUGAUCAACGAACCAAGUUACCCCAGGGAUAACAGCGCCAUCCCCUUCUAGAGUUCAUAUCAACAGGGGGGUUUACGACCUCGAUGUUGGAUCAGGACACCCAAAUAGUGCAGCCGCUAUUAAUGGUUCGUUUGUUCAACGAUUAAAGUCCUACGUGAUCUGAGUUUC